rnacentral:rRNA from 1 species
AGUGAACGCUGGCGGUAGGCCUAACACAUGCAAGUCGAACGGCAGCACAGGAGAGCUUGCUCUCUGGGUGGCGAGUGGCGGACGGGUGAGGAAUACAUCGGAAUCUACUCUGUCGUGGGGGAUAACGUAGGGAAACUUACGCUAAUACCGCAUACGACCUACGGGUGAAAGCAGGGGACCUUCGGGCCUUGCGCGAUUGAAUGAGCCGAUGUCGGAUUAGCUAGUUGGCGGGGUAAAGGCCCACCAAGGCGACGAUCCGUAGCUGGUCUGGGAGGAUGAUCAGCCACACUGGAACUGAGACACGGGCCAGACUCCUACGGGAGGCAGCAGUGGGGAAUAUUGGACAAUGGGCGCAAGCCUGAUCCAGCCAUACCGCGUGGGUGAAGAAGGCCUUCGGGUUGUAAAGCCCUUUUGUUGGGAAAGAAAUCCAGCUGGCUAAUACCCGGUUGGGAUGACGGUACCCAAAGAAUAAGCACCGGCUAACUUCGUGCCAGCCGCCGCGGUAA